rnacentral:rRNA from 1 species
CAGCAGCCGCGGGAAAACGUAGGGUGCAAGCGUUAAUCGGAAUUACUGGGCGUAAAGCGUGCGCAGGCGGUUAUAUAAGACAGAUGUGAAAUCCCCGGGCUCAACCUGGGAACUGCAUUUGUGACUGUAUAGCCAGAGUACGGCAGAGGGGGAUGGAAUUCCGCGUGUAGCAGUGAAAUGCGUAGAUAUGCGGAGGAACACCGAUGGCGAAGGCAAUCCCCUGGGCCUGUACUGACGCUCAUGCACGAAAGCGUGGGGAGCAAACAGGAUUAGAUACCCCAGUAGUCCCUGUCUCUUAUAC